AGACACUCCUACUCGAUUGCA
rnacentral:siRNA from 1 species